rnacentral:rRNA from 1 species
AUUGAACGCUGGCGGCAUGCUUUACACAUGCAAGUCGAGCGGCAGCGCGGGGGCAACCCUGGCGGCGAGCGGCGAACGGGUGAGGAAUACAUCGGAACGUACCCCGGACGUGGGGGAGUAACGCCCGCGAAAGCGGCGCUAAUACCGCAUACGCCCCUGAGGGGGGAAAGGACGGGGGAGUCGUAAGACCUCGCGUUAAUGGAGCGGCCGAUGCCGGAUUAGCUAGUUGGUGAGGUAAAGGCUCACCAAGGCGACGAUCCGUAGCUGGUCUGAGAGGACGACCAGCCACACUGGAACUGAGACACGGUCCAGACUCCUACGGGAGGCAGCAGU